UACGAAGGGUGCAAGCGUUACUCGGAAUUACUGGGCGUAAAGCGUGCGUAGGUGGUGAGCUAAGUCUGUCGUGAAAGCCCCGGGCUCAACCUGGGAAUGGCGAUGGAUACUGGCUCGCUAGAGUGCGGUAGAGGAGAGUGGAAUUCCCGGUGUAGCAGUGAAAUGCGUAGAGAUCGGGAGGAACAUCAGUUGCGAAGGCGGCUCUCUGGACCAGCACUGACACUGAGGCACGAAAGCGUGGGGAGCAAACAGG
rnacentral:rRNA from 1 species